rnacentral:rRNA from 1 species
CGUGUCUCACUUGGAGGGCAAGUCUGGUGCCAGCAGCCGCGGUAAUUCCAGCUCCAAUAGCGUAUAUUAAGUUGUUGCAGUUAAAAGCUCGUAGUUGAAUUUCGAAACCGGUUUAUUGGUCGUGCUUUUGUACGUACUGGUAUUAUUGGUUUCUCCUUUCUGACGAAUCUUAAUGCCAUUAAUUUGGUGUUUUGGGAAUCAGGACUGUUACUUUGAAAAAAUUAGAGUGUUUAAAGCAGGCUCACGCUUGAAUACAUUAGCAUGGAAUAACGAAAUGGACGUUUGAAUUUUAUUUUGUUGGUUUUUAGGAUCGACGUAAUGAUUAAUAGGGAUAGUUGGGGGCAUUAGUAUUCAAUUGUCAGAGGUGAAAUUCUUGGAUUUAUUGAAAGACUAACUACUGCGAAAGCAUUUGCCAAGGAUGUUUUCAUUAAUCAAGAACGAAAGUUAGGGGAUCGAAGACGAUCAGAUACCGUCGUAGUCUUAACCAUAAACUAUGCCGACUAGGGAUCGGAUGAUGUUAAUUUUUUAAUGACUCAUUCGGCGCCUUACG